CUACGGGACGCUCCAGUGAGGAAUUUUGGACAAUGGGGGCAACCCUGAUCCAGCGACGCCGCGUGGAGGACGAAGGUUUUCGAAUUGUAAACUCCUUUUGUCUGGGAACAAUAAGUCUGUAGAAAUACAGAAAUUGAGUGUACCAGAUGAAUAAGCCACGGCUAACUUCGUGCCAGCAGCCGCGGUAAUACGAAGGUGGCAAGCGUUACUCGGAAUGACUAGGCGUAAAGGGCAGGUAGGCGGUUAUGAUAGUCUGCUGUGAAAGCUCCCGGCUUAACUGGGAGAGGCCAGCGGAUACUGCAUGACUUGAGUGUAGGAGAGGAUACUGGAAUUCCAGGUGUAGCGGUGAAAUGCGCAGAGAUCUGGAGGAACACCAAUGGCGAAAGCAAGUAUCUGGACUACUACUGACGCUCAGCUGCGAAAGCUAGGGGAGCAAACAGGAUUAGAUACCCCCGUAGUC
rnacentral:rRNA from 1 species